GCUGAAUGAUUUCUUUAUUAUAACUAUGCUAAAAUACAUCAAUAUACUAUAUAAAAGGAGGAUACUAAAACUACACACUACUUUCUCUAUCUCUAACACAACUCGUGACCCUCUCUGAGAGUCCAGCCCCAUGUGGGCUGGAUUGGCCAUCAGGCUCAAACAAUCCUCACCAGAAUCCAACCAAGCAUCACCCCAGGUAAACAAUUCUCCAAACACAUUCCACAUAGGAAAAACAAGGAGCAGAAAUAGAAAUUGUUUUCUCUUUCAUUUCUCUCUGUGCACUUAUAUGAAAAAUCCUGAGAGGGAGAGAAAUGUGCUUGCCACACCAGGACCACCCACAUGCUGCAGAGUCAGACAGAGCAGUUGUGUGGUCACACUAGGGCAGUCCUCUCUCACAGAAAGCAUUUAAGGCUGCUCUGUUUGGGAUAUGGCUCCUUUACCCUCCCAAAAGGGCACUGAUCUAGCUCUGUCAAGCUUAAGAGAUUUGGGUGGUGCCACCACAUUGCCAUGUCCACACAGUGUCCUCUUAAAGUGUGUCCAGAGUGGCCACUGCCAGUGCAGUUCUCGCCUGGCUCACUCCUGAGCUGUGCUGCUGCAUUGCCUGGGGACAUGUGAGCUGACACAGGCCACAGCCCACGGGGGAAGGCUUGAACCAUAAACCAGUGUGGGCAACUGAACUCCCACACCUGAGGCCAGUCCCUGUACUGUUCAAUUUGCUGUUAUACCAGCAGUCAACGUUUCAUCCUCCUCUGAUGAUGAUAGUCUGAAAUGUUCGCCUUUGGGCCAGUUUGUGAUGACUUCCAAGAUCCCUGAGUGAUUCACCUGCUCAGUGGGAAACAUAAAAUUACAGAUCAUGGCCCUAGAAGAGCCUUUGAGAGGCUGGCUAGUCCAUUCCUUGCCUGUAUCAACCAUGCUGUUGCUCUCUUCCUGUAUUUCCUACUCUUGAAGAUUUCCAAUUAUGAAGAGAAUGGUAAAAUACAUGGUAGGAAGGUGAUCCACCACUCUUCUUUGACACUGUUUCAUUCAAGAGUAAACAAAGUAGGCCCUUUCUUUGGUUAGGUUAUAGGUUAAUUUUAAAAUGCACAUGGUCUAAUAUUACACCAUUCUUAUUGUUAGUAAAUAUUUGAUAGCAGGCCUCAGUAAUUUAUAUUGGAAAAAACAGUGAUAUGGAACUGGCAGAUGAAAACACUUGCUAGAGAUGAUCAUAAAUUAAAUAACACUCACAGCCUCUGAGUUGGAAGGAGGAGGCUCUCAUGUCACGGAGAUCAAUGUCCGUAUUUACCGUGUUUUACAACACUCUGUGAAUUGCAGUCCAGAGCACACAAAUGUAUUCCACAUAAAGUACAUGAGGGCUGAGUGAUAUCUCAGUGCCUCUCCAGUGAAGCUCUAGCAAUAUUGAGCACAAAGGUAAGUUAAAACAUGUUAUGUUUGUAUAGAAGUACAUAUUGAUAUGUCCAAGAAGAUAGUUGUUUCAAUGAUAUUGUAACAUUUAUUGAAAAUAGAAGAAAUAGCUAAAUAUAUGUCAAAGCAUGUGUGUUCACUGCAGCACCCUGCAUUUAAAUUCCAGUGCAGAUUAUUCCUACAACCAGGGAAGAGGAUGAAUGUCAGCAAUGUGGAGUCACCAUGACAGAAGACUGGCAGGACAAUGAACAUGGAACAUGAUCAUUCCUCCCAGGACAAACCUGAACCUUGCUAUGUGAAAGAAAUAUGGUCAUUGAAAGCCUGAGGGUUGAAGAAAUCCCACCAUGCUCACCAACUGGAAAACAGCUCCUUGUCAGGGGAGUACAAAAGAACAAAUGCACAAUAGGAACAAAAUGCACAGAGGAACAAAAGAACAAUAUGUAAGACUACUUAAGUAUACAAAGUCCUAUUGAUGAACAGAUCACAUCUUCACAAACAAACAUGCUCAAAAGUCCUCUUCCUGUUUUGUAUAUGUAAUAAGUCCUUGAUAUGAUGGAAAUGUUUUUGCAGAACAGGCUUUUUUACCUGGUGUCAGAAUGCUUUCAUUGACAAUUAUAAUUUUUUACCACUCUGAUAUUCUAACAAAAGGUAUCUGUGAAGAUGUGGUGCUUUGUAUUUUCCUGUCUAUUCCGUAGCAGUUAAUGAUGGAUAGACAAUUUCAAAUUUUGAACUACCAUGGAAACUACUUGGUAUCCUGCUUUUCUUUAUUGAGUUCACAACUCCCUCUGCAGUAAACCUUGCAAGUCCUUGAACAAAUGUCAAGAGACACAGCUGUAGCUACGGUGCCAGUUUUGAAAUUA
rnacentral:lncRNA from 1 species